rnacentral:rRNA from 1 species
UGGCUCAGGACGAACGCUGGCGGCGUGCUUAACACAUGCAAGUCGAACGGAAAGGCCCUGCUUUUGUGGGGUGCUCGAGUGGCGAACGGGUGAGUAACACGUGAGUAACCUGCCCUUGACUUUGGGAUAACUUCAGGAAACUGGGGCUAAUACCGGAUAGGAGCUCCUGCUGCAUGGUGGGGGUUGGAAAGUUUCGGCGGUUGGGGAUGGACUCGCGGCUUAUCAGCUUGUUGGUGGGGUAGUGGCUUACCAAGGCUUUGACGGGUAGCCGGCCUGAGAGGGUGACCGGCCACAUUGGGACUGAGAUACGGCCCAGACUCCUACGGGAGGCAGCAGUGGGGAAUAUUGCACAAUGGGCGGAAGCCUGAUGCAGCAACGCCGCGUGCGGGAUGACGGCCUUCGGGUUGUAAACCGCUUUCGCCUGUGACGAAGCGUGAGUGACGGUAAUGGGUAAAGAAGCACCGGCUAACUACGUGCCAGCAGCCGCGGUGAUACGUAGGGUGCGAGCGUUGUCCGGAUUUAUUGGGCGUAAAGGGCUCGUAGGUGGUUGAUCGCGUCGGAAGUGUAAUCUUGGGGCUUAACCCUGAGCGUGCUUUCGAUACGGGUUGACUUGAGGAAGGUAGGGGAGAAUGGAAUUCCUGGUGGAGCGGUGGAAUGCGCAGAUAUCAGGAGGAACACCAGUGGCGAAGGCGGUUCUCUGGGCCUU